rnacentral:rRNA from 1 species
CACGUAGUUAGCCGGUGCUUCUUGUCCAGGUACCGUCACUUACGCUUCGUCCCUGGCGAAAGGAGUUUACAACCCGAAGGCCGUCAUCCCCCACGCGGCGUCGCUGCAUCAGGCUUGCGCCCAUUGUGCAAUAUUCCCCACUGCUGCCUCCCGUAGGAGUCUGGGCCGUAUCUCAGUCCCAAUGUGGCCGUACACCCUCUCAGGUCGGCUACCCGUCGACGCCUUGGUAGGCCAUUACCCCACCAACAAGCUGAUAGGCCGCGAGCUCAUCCCACACCGAAAAAACUUUCCACCACCGACACUAAACGAUGGUCCUAUCCGGUAUUAGACCCAGUUUCCCAGGCUUAUCCCGAAGUGCAGGGCAGAUCACCCACGUGUUACUCACCCGUUCGCCACUCGAGUACCAGUGCAAGCACUGGCCUUUCCGUUCGACUUGCAUGUGUUAAGCACGCGCCAGCGUUCAUCCUGAGCCAGGAUCAAACUCU